UGGGAGUUGGUUUUACCUGAAGCUAGUUCGCUAACCGCAAGGAGGCAGCUAACCACGGUAAGAUUAGCGACUGGGGUGAAGUCGUAACAAGGUAACCGUAGGGGAACCUGCGGUUGGAUCACCUCCUUUCUAAGAGUUGUUGGUGAGUUUUAUUUACAAAAUUUAUCAACUUUUUAACUUAGUAAUUUUACAGCUUACCGUCCUCGUUUCUCUUUCAAUUUGUUUAAAACUAUGAAGCCUAUCGUAUAUAUCCGGGCUUGUAGCUCAGUCUGGUUAGAGCGCACCCCUGAUAAGGGUGAGGUCGGUAGUUCGAGUCUACCCAGGCCCACCAAAAUUACGGUGGUUUUCUUAAGGGGCUUUAGCUCAGCUGGGAGAGCACCUGCUUUGCAAGCAGGGGGUCACCGGUUCGAUCCCGGUAAGCUCCACCAAGUUUUAAGCUUUUCCAUUUACAUCGUGAAGUGACAUCAAUACUAAAAAUAAAAUUUUUUAGAGAAUUCAAUUAAUUAAUAAAGUGCAAAAACAAAAGCAAAAGUUUGUUUUUUGUACAUAGAAUAUCAAGCGUUUAAGAGCAUUUGAUGGAUGCCUUGGCACACAGAGGCGAUGAAGGACGUAGUACGUUGCGAUAAGCUUCGGGGAGUUACGAACAAACUUUGAUCCGAAGAUUU
rnacentral:misc_RNA from 1 species